UACGAGUGCCUCGAGCGUUAUCCGGAAUUAUUGGGCGUAAAGGGUGUGUAGGCGGUAAUGUUAGUCUUGUGUUAAAUCUUUCGGCUCAACCGAAAGGCUGCAUGGGAAACGGCAUAACUAAGAGGAUGGCAGGGGUCUGCGGAACUCAUGGUGUAGCGGUGAAAUGCGUUGAUAUCAUGGGGAACACCAAAAGCGAAGGCAGCAGACUGGGCCACUCCUGACGCUGAAACACGAAAGCGUGGGUCGCGAAUGGG
rnacentral:rRNA from 1 species